rnacentral:tRNA from 1 species
GCCGAAGUGGCGGAACGGUAGACGCGGCGGUCUCAAAAACCGUUGAGGUAACACUCGUGUGAGUUCGACUCUCACCUUCGGCACCA